CAGCCCCAGGUUUCAGCAAGAGCCCGGUGACUCCUUUCCAUCUCUGCCCUGCGAGGGAGGCAGUCGGCACAGAGGAACUGUGCCGAGAGGCAUCCGGGCACCGCAUCGCGGCAGAGGAAGCCUGUUGGCAGCCGGGACCCGGCGCUUUCAGAAAGGGAUGCAGGGAUGACAGCUGCCUCUCAUCUGGGACGUGUUGGAAAAGAAGCGAGUAGAAGUUAAGCUGGCAAGUGUAGGAACUUCUUCUGGUGGGAGGAAUGCCAGCGGAUCGCCCAGGAAGACGCGAAGGACGGCUUUGUGCCAGCCCUCCACGGGGUUUCUGCUAUGUAACGCCGCCUCUAGCAACAAGCUGGAGAGGAGCUCGAGACACCUGGGUCGGAGAUGCCCUGCGAGCUUUGCCCUUGCAGACAGGGGACCUCGRCUGGCUCCCGGGGCUGCGUCAGCAGGGCAGAACCGAACUUGCCUGUGUCGUCCCCAAAGCGGUUUCAGACAGGACUGGGCAGCUGAACUGCAGCAGGGAGGCACCGGGAGAGCGGCUGGACCGGGGGCCGUGCGGGGACUGCAGCCCGGUAAGGGGRGAAGYGGGGACUCCCCCUCUGCUCUGCCCUGGCCCGUCCCUCGCUCGCAGCCCCCACGGAGGAGCUGGGGUCACUCGCUUGCUCAGAAAGCUGAUCAGCAGCGCGGAGCAGCGCCGCGUUGGGGAGCUGGCGCCCCGGGUCGCUCCCGCCCCAUCCAAGGGGGUAAUUCCCACCCCCAGCGAAACCUGGGAG
rnacentral:lncRNA from 1 species